rnacentral:lncRNA from 10 species
GAAACACAAUCUGGCCGCCUAGAGGCUGCGUGAAGCUCGUGACCCUGCGGGGUGACUAACGGAGCUCAGCUGGGUGGGACCAGAAACCACGUCUGGGCACUCCUGAGUCACAGGCUCAGAAGCUUUCGCCUCCGCCUUCAGACUGGCCCUCAGGCUUCCCUGCUCAGAGGCAGGGAAUUGUGCAGCUGGAGUUUCAUUUUCCAAGAGGCAGGGUCUCAGUCUGUCACCCAGGCUGGAGUACAGUGGCACCAUCUUGGCUCACUCUAGCCUCGACCUCCUGGGCUCAAGUGAGCCUCCUACCUCAGUCUCCCAAAAUGCUGGGAUUACAAGCAUGAACCACUGUGACUUGCCUUCUUGGCAAUUUUAAAUGAAAGAAGAAGAUGGAAUAAUGCCUACUGAGGACUAUGUUUGAGGGGUGUUGUAUGACCCCGUUUUCCAUACCCAGCCAACUUGUCAUGUGACAAGUCCACAGAAAGAUGUUAUAUGACAGGAAUCUAUGAACUAGUCUUCCCUGAAAUGUACCUGACUACAGCUAACAUCAUAUCACAUGAUGAAAGACCGCGUUGUUUUCCCCUGAGGUUGGCAGAAUGACUGUCUACAUAGGAAUAGCUCCUCUGCAGAGACAUCUAGAAGAUGCUGAGAUAAUAUAUGUAAAAACUGACAAGCCCUUUGGGACAGAUACCAGCAAAUGCAAGGCGUAUGCUAUGGAAGUUUUAUCAUCCUAACAGAUAAGCCCGUCCCCAACUCCAGUGAGUGACUGAGAGACACGGGCAUGAACGCUGAGCUCAGAUGACAGCAUCUUUUCACAGCAGACCUGGGCCCAGCCCCUGGAAGCACACGAUGAUGAACUGUCCUCUGGUUUCCCAAGACUUCAAAAAUGAAACCCAGUGAUCAAGAGAUGUUUGGCUUUGAACACUGCGGGAAUUAAAGCCAGCACCCAGUUAAAGCCAGUGAGGACAGCACUCCAAGGUUUGGGGACGGUCUCAGGACACUAAUCCUGGUUCCUUUUCUAUUUUGCCUGGGUCCCUCCUGCCCAUCCUGGGAAGCCGUGGCAGCUGUUGGGGAUGUGGGGCCCCAGCUGCAGCUGUGGGUGAUUCGGAUGGUCUGUUGGUGGAAUGUGGAGCUGGACGGGUCAAGGAGCACAGUGUGGAAAGAGGGACAAUUUGCUACAAGUUGGAGAUAAGAGACAUGGCAUACUGUGAAACCAGUGCUGACGGAAGAAGGUGACUUUCUUGGAAGGUCAAGACACUUGCUUGACAGCGAUGUCCAGGAGGGCUAGGGAGAGUUCUGCUGGAAGUGAAGGCAGCACCUGAGGGUGGCUGAGGGAACUGGUCAGGGCUGGGAACGCCUCCAGCCCUUUGAGGAAUGAUUCGCUGAUUAAGAGAUGUUUGGCCUUGAAAAUUGCAAGAAUGAAAUCUCUUGGUGGGAAUGUGUAGCCAAAAGCCAGCACCCUGAGUGGCUCCAAGGUUUGGGGACCCUCUCAAGGCACAAAUCCCAGUUCCUUUUCAAUUUUGAAAAUCGUUGUGGGCGAUUCUGGAAUUGAGAAGUGUGCUGAGAGCCAUGGAUUUAACAUGACAAGAAUUUCCGCCCCUUCGUCACUGAGCACACCGCAAAUGCUCCAGGGCCAGGGACUUACUUGGGCUUCUGCGUGUCUUCCACAGUGUGCAUCAAUCCGCCGGGCUCUGGUUGGUGUUUAAAAAAAAAGAUGCAGCGAAGGAAUCUGGUGUGGACAAACGCCCUGGGCAUGGACCAAAAGCCUGGCCCUUGUGUCCCUGGCAAUGGGACGGUGAAGGACAGAAAGACAGCACAUCCAGUAGUGUCAGGAGCUUGGAGCAGGCAUUCGGAAGCAUCUGUUAAAUGUUAUUGAUGGAGGAUUGACAUAACCCACAUCUGCAUAGCUUUUUUGGUCUGUUUUUGGAAGUGAACAGUCACAAACAAAAACAACUUUGGUUCAGGUCAUUUAUAGGCCCAGAUCCUCUAUCCUUAGAGGUUUCCCACCAGAUAUACUAUUUCACUAUCUAUGCCAGGAAAGUUACGUAAAACCACGCAGAAUUUUACCUGACAACGAAAUAGACCUUUUCGUUAGAUCCUCCACCCCACCUAAAGCAGUUACACAGGCUGAAAUGAAACUGUUAAAGGAAUGAACUAACUUGGAGAUAGAAUCAUCGCCUUUGCUGAACACCAUUUUAAGAAUAUUGGAAUAUAUAGGGGUACCAGCAUAAUAGUAAAAUGUGCCCAUAUUAUCUAUAAUUUUAUGCUGGGCACUUUUUAGAAAUUAUUUUUUAUAACUUUGUCUUUGAGAUGAUUUGGCUACAAGUUCAUUACAUUUAGUUUACAACUGGCUUUGAUUUCUUGGCAUUCGUUGUGUAUUAUUAGGAAACCCCGCAGAGAGAAAAUGUAAACUCCAAAUUGCUUUAAAAUAUUAUGAUAGUUUUUAGGGAUAUUACACUGUGACAGUGAAUGAAAUGGACGUAACGUUCUGUUUUGUAGAUAUUUUGUGAAAUCUUUAUUAGUCUUGAUUUUCUUUGGAACAAGUCAUUCCUGUUCUGGGCUGAAGCCUGAAAAUUCCCUGACCUGUGACCCUGGCCCAAGGCUCCUCUUGGAUAAAACAGUGUUUCCUGGACCAGAGGGCAAAGUCACAGAAACAUGAUGUGACGAAAUCUAAAUAGAAAGGUAUUGAUUUGUUCUUCGUUCAUCAAAUAGUUAUUGGACUCCAGCACGUAUGAGUAGCAGGGAGCCUGGCUAGCACUACACCUUCCCCUCCUGCCUCUCAGGGUCAGGGCCACAGGCACACACAGAGCGAGGGAAAAUGAGGGGGUAGAGAGGCUGGUCCCGAGUCUCCAGCCCUUCUCUCCCAAUCCUCUCCCUGAGUGGGCAGGGAACUCUUCUCUUGGCUCCUCCAACUUCCAUCAACGUCUGCCCUUGGGUCUGGUUUUAAACUCUAAGGUGUAAAUGACUCAUAAUGGCUCAACAUUUUGUCCCUCCCAAGAGGUAUUUUUAAGUCUAAGGAAUAAAGAUUUAAUAGUAAAACUUCGAAUGCCAAUCAGGGGUAAGUGAGGAUUUGGAAGAGGAAGGUCUUGAGCAUUUUCCUAACACUGCUAAAAUCAUCCCAUUGAGUUAGGGCAGCAACUAUCCUGAUGGGCUGGGUAUGAUGGAAGUUAGUCAAUGUUUCAAUAGAUGGAUGGAUGGAUGGAUGGAUGGAUGGAUGGAUAGACUGACGGAUGGAUGGAUGGAUGGAUGGAUGGAUGGAUGGAUAGACGGAUGGAUGGAUGGAUGGAUGGAUGGAUGGAUGGAUGGAUAGAUGGAUGGAUACAUAGAUCACCUUUAUUCUGAUCUCAACUGGUCUUUGAAGCUUGAUUCAUUUUUUGAUUUCUCACGGAGCCAGACUAGGGUCUGACACAUUAGGAAGCUGGCAAAAGUUUGUUGACUAAACAAAUUAAUGAAGGGAAAAUUAUGUAUGCAGAGAUGCCUGGGGUUUGGGUUACCGUUUUGGGUCCCCUUUGAUUUGAGCGACACACAUGCUGACAACUUGAGUCUGAAGUUAGUGGAUCCUUAGCUAACUUGCUAGAGUAAAGGUUGUGGUAAAACUUGACCUUGCUCUAUUCAUCAACAGCAUAUCCUGUGAAAGUCACGACGCUUCCAUGAAAACCUUGGUGCUAGGCCUGUGAUAUCUUUGCAGAGGUCUGACCUAAGGAGACUGCUUGUGUCAAUAGUAACAACAAUCACAAUUGUCCUGAACACAAAGGCAGCAUUCUUUGUGUGCUAGCUGUGGUUUUAAGCAUAUUACGUCUAUUUACUAAUUUAAUCCUGAAACAGCCUUUGCUUUAGGUACUCCUAUUAACCUCAUUUUAUGGAUGGGAAAAUAGACUGUGAGAAGUGAAGUCACCCGCCCAAGGUCAUACACCUGUAAGUGGUGGAGGCAGGGUUUGAACCGAGCACACUGGCCUCACUUCGUGGGCUCCUACCACUACGCUGCCUCAUGUUACUACCCUGUAUCCACCUCCAGAAUGAGUUGGCAGCUGCAAGUUCUCCCCAAGGCCCCACUGCAGCCCUUGCAUCUCAGCAUCAGCUCCUUGCACGGCCAGGUGGUGUUGUUUCUGACUCGGGGUCUGCAUCUCUCUCUGCGCCGCUGGGUUCAGGAGGCCCUGAGGAGCGAGCCCGGUCCAGUGCUAGCUUCGCAGCUCACAGCCCUUGGGCAAAUGUUACAACUGGAGGGCUGCACAAAUGCAUCAUGUGGUUUCAAACCAUGCGUCUCUCUGAGCAGGAAUUGCUGGAAUGGGCCUCAGAAAGUUCCUGACCCUUUGUCUGGGGUCACAGGGUCUGUGUCCAGUGAGGCCUAGAGGCCACGUGAGGUCCAGAGAGAGAAGCACAAGGCAGCUGCUGAGGCCUCAUAGGAACCAUGCGGUGAAGGAACCAGGGUUUCUUCUUUCUCCAUGGCAACUAGGAGUGCAGGUCAGCCUCGGAAAAGGAUCCUCCAUCUUUGGUUAAAAGAACG